rnacentral:rRNA from 1 species
UACGUAGGGGGCAAGCGUUGUCCGGAAUCAUUGGGCGUAAAGCGCGUGUAGGCGGCCCGGUAAGUCCGCUGUAAAAGUCCAGGGCUCAACCCUGGAAAGCCGGCGGAUACUGUCGGGCUAGAGUCCGGAAGAGGCGAGUGGAAUUCCUGGUGUAGCGGUGGAAUGCGCAGAUAUCAGGAGGAACACCGAUGGCGAAGGCAGCUCGCUGGGACGGUACUGACGCUGAGGCGCGAAAGCGUGGGGAGCGAACAGG